rnacentral:lncRNA from 1 species
AAGGAUUUAUUCAUAAACGAUAUGGGAUAAGCAACUUGAUCUAUAGAGGUAGAUCUCGAAGAUUGCUUAACUCAUCCUAAUUUACAUAGAUGAAAUCUUGAGAAGGUUUCAUCUGGAGAAACUGGUUUACUCUUAAGCGGUAUGUUGGAAAGGUUCCCAACGUGAAGCAGCCAUUGAUUCAAUAGUAGAAACCUAAUACAUGGAUACUUUAGAAGUAGCAAAGAGUUGCAAUAUGGAUCAUGAUGUUCAUAAAUGAACUUGGAGUAGUUCCUGAUAUUGUUGAUCACAUACAAUAGUAUUG